rnacentral:tRNA from 3 species
GCGGGAAUAGCUCAGUGGUAGAGCACAACCUUGCCAAGGUUGGGGUCGCGAGUUCGAUCCUCGUUUCCCGCUCCA